AUGGGGCGCAGCAGGCGAGGAAACUUUGCAAUGUGCGAAAGCACGACAAGGUUAGUCCGAGUGAUUUCUGCUAAAGAGAUCUUUUGCUAGUUAUAAAACCACUAGUGAAUAAGGGGUGGGCAAGUUCUGGUGUCAGCCGCCGCGGUAAAACCAGCACCUCAAGUGGUCAGGAUGAUUAUUGGGCCUAAAGCAUCCGUAGCCGGCUCUGUAAGUUUUCGGUUAAAUCCAUGUGCUCAACGCAUGGGCUGCCGAAAAUACUGCAGAGAUAGGGAGUGGGAGAGGUAGACGGUACUCGGUAGGAAGGGGUAAAAUCCUUUGAUCUAUCGAUGACCACCUGUGGCGAAGGCGGUCUACCAGAACACGUUCGACGGUGAGGGAUGAAAGCUGGGGGAGCAAACCGGAUUAGAUACCCGGGUAGUCCCAGCUGUAAACGAUGCAGACUCGAUGAUGCAUUGGCAUAUAGCCAGUGCAGUGUCGCAGGGAAGCCGUUAAGUCUGCCGCCUGGGAAGUACGUACGCAAGUAUGAAACUUAAAGGAAUUGGCGGGGGAGCAC
rnacentral:rRNA from 2 species